rnacentral:rRNA from 1 species
UACGUAGGGGCCGAGCGUUGUCCGGAGUUAUUGGGCGUAAAGCGCGCGCAGGCGGCCUCGCGCGCCCGACGUGAAAGCCCCCGGCUUAACCGGGGAGGGUCGUUGGGGACGGCGGGGCUUGAGGGCGGGAGAGGGUGGUGGAAUUCCCGGUGUAGUGGUGAAAUGCGUAGAGAUCGGGAGGAACACCCGUGGCGAAGGCGGCCACCUGGGCCGACCCUGACGCUGAGGCGCGAAGGCGUGGGAGCGAACGGG